AGGCCAUGCCCCUGAAACCUGCGUCACAGGUGCAGGUACCGUUACCUAGGUGACCGUCGUCACAUUUACCAUGGGUACUGCAGGGGGAGCCGACUCCACCUGGACACACUGGACAAAGGAUCAAUACAGCUGAAGGAGAGCGGGGAGCCCUGCAGAGUCCGAGCCGAGUCCAGGUGGAUCAGGCCUUCAGCGUAAAUCUGAGUUUGAGGGAAGAAAGUUAAGAAUUAAUAUCAAAACAUUCACUCUGAUAAAUUGUGAAGAAAAUCUUUGUUAAACGUAUUAAAGAUAAUAUAAUAAAGGGAAAUGUGUCUGUUCAUCACUGUCAAAUCUGCUAAACGAAUAAAGUAAAUGUCACUUAAUUUUCCCUUUUUUCAACAACAUGUUUCACCAUCGUGGCCUCUGACGUCUCCGUAUGCUGAUGAUGCAGUUAUACCUUCAUAUAAACCCACUGAUGUCAGCACAGGGCUGGAUGGUGAAUCAUCAAAUUAAAAAAGUAUUAACCAGUAAAACCUGCAGCAUCACCUUCUGGGCCUGCAGGAUGUGGUACUUCAGGUACUCCACCAGCUGAGCUCGGUUAUCCUGGUGGAACAGGAAGUCCUUCUGCUCCUGCGGCAGAGACGCCAAGGCGCCGUCUGAGGGCAAGAAGACUGUCACCGGUCAGGAGGAAGCAGGACCUCGUCGAUUUCAUGGAAGAUGCCGUUGACGCUGAUGUCGUGGCUGUACGUCACAUUGGCGUGGUCGAUGAAGAUGCUGCCCUGAGAAUGUAACAGACAAACAGUUUUCAUUUAUGACUUUA